AACUGCUUCCGAAAUGAAGGGGACUAAACAGGAACAAGAGGGAUCCACUGAAGAAGAUCCUUAUCCUUCUCCUUCCCUUAAUUCGGAAGAAGGGUGGGAUCCGGACAAAAUCGAUGAAACGGAAGAAAUUCGAGUGAAUGGAAAGGACAAAAUAAAGGAUAAAUUCCACUCUCACCUUACAGAGACAGGCUAUAACAAUAUUAAUACUAGUAAUAGUCCAAUUUAUGAUUAUCAGGAUUCUUAUGUGAAUAAUAAUAACACGGGGAAUCUAGAAAAUUGUAAAUUGCAACUGCUUGAUAAAAAAAUGAAAAUCAAGAACAAGACCUCUUCUGGUUUCAAAAACCUCUUGUGAGUCUUCUUUUCGAUUAUAAUCGAUGGAAUCGACCAUUUCGUUACAUAAAGAAUAAUCGAUUUGAGCAGGCCGUAAGAACAGAAAUGUCACAAUAUUUUUUUGACACAUGUAAAAGUGAUGGAAAACAAAAAAUAUCUUUUACAUACCCGCCAAGUUUAUCAACUUUUUUGAAAAUGAUAAAAAGAAAGAUACCCCUAUUGUCACUCCAAAAAACGCUCCCUAAUGAACUGGACACUUAGUGGGUUUCUACCAACAAAGAAAAAAGUAAUAAUCUAAAUAAGGAAUUUUUAAAUCGACUUGAAAUUCUAGACAAGGAAUCUCUUUCUCUGGAUAUACUCGAAACAAGGACUAGAUUUUGUAAUGAUGAUACUAAAAAAGAAUACAUGCCUAAAAUGUAUGAUCCUUUGUUAAAUGGACUAUAUCGAGGAACAAUAAAAAAGGGGGUUUCAUCUUCAAUCAUAAACAAUACUUUGCUAGAAAACUGGUAAAAGAGAGUUAGACUAAAUAGGAUUCAUACUAUCUUUCUUCCGAAUAUUGAUUACCAAGAAUUUGAACAAAAAGCGUAUACGAUUGAUAAAAAACCAUUAUCAACAGAAAUUGACGAGUUCUUAACUUUAAUCAAUGAAUUAGGUAACGAAGUAAAAUCGAGUUUAAAUUUGAAGGGUCUUUCUUUAUUUUCAGACCAAGAACAGAGAAGAGCGAAUUCAGAAAAAAGAAUGAAAUUUGUCAAAUUUGUAUUCAAUGCAAUUGAUCCUAAUGAGACAAAAUCGGGAAAAAAAUCGAUUGGAAUAAAAGAAAUCAGUAAAAAAGUACCUCGCUGGUCCCAUAAAUUAAUCACUGAAUUGGACCAACAAAUGGGUGAAUUUAAAGAUCGCGCAUCAAUGGAUCAUCAACUUCGUUCAAGAAAAGCAAAACGUGUAGUUAUUUUUACUGACAACAAGGCGACUAAGGAUGCUGAGGAGGAAGUGGCUUUAAUAAGCUAUUCGCAACAAUCAGAUUUUCGGCGAGGUAUAAUUACAGGCUCUAUGCGGGCUCAAAGGCACAAAACAUUUAUUUCGAAACUAUUUCAAGCAAAUGUACAUUCCCCCCUUUUUGUCGACAGAAUAACCCCCUACGUGUUUUUUCUUUUGAUAUCUCUGAACUAAUUAAACCAAUUUUGAAAAAUUGGACAGAUAAAGAGGGAGAAUUCAAGAUUCUAGAGUCUAGAGAAGAACAAACAAAAAGAGAAGAGAAAAAAGAAAAGGACAAAAAGAGGAUAACAAAAGAAAGGAACAGGCACGGAUAGCGAUCGAAGAAGCCUGAGAUACCAUUCCUUUGGCACAAAUAAUAAGAGGUUACAUGUUAAUAACUCAAUCAAUUCUUCGAAAAUAUAUUCUAUUACCUGCAUUGAUAAUAGCCAAAAAUAUCGGGCGUAUGUUAUUCCUACAACUUCCUGAAUGGUCUGAAGAUUUACAGGAAUGGAAUAGAGAAAUGCAGAUUAAAUGUACUUAUAAUGGUGUUCGAUUAUCAGAAACAGAAUUUCCCAAAAAUUGGUUAAGAGACGGGAUUCAGAUCAAAAUUUUAUUUUCUUUUUGUCUGAAACCUUGGCAUAUAUCUAAACUGUACCCCUCCCGCAGAGAGCUAAUGAAAAAGCAAAAACAAAAAGAUGAUUUUUGUUUUUUAACAGUUUGGGGAAUGGAAGCGGAACUUCCCUUUGGUUCUCCCCGAAAGCGACCUUCAUUUUUUGAGCCCAUUUUUAAGGAACUCGAAAAAAAAUUGAAAAAUUCAAAAAGAAAUAUUUUCUAACUCUAAAAAUUUUAAAAGGAAAAACAAAAUUAUUUAGAAGAGUUUCAAAAGAAACAACAAAAUUGUUUAUCAAAAGUAUUAGAUUUCUAAAAAUAAUAAAAAAAGAACUUUCAAAAGUAAAUCUAAUUGUAUUAUUUAGAUUCAAAGAAAUAUCUGAAUCCAAUGAAACAAAAAAAGAAAAAGAUUAUCUAAUUAGUAAUCAAAUAAUUAACGAAUCAUUUCGUCAAAUUGAAUCUGGAAAUUGGCCAAAUUCUUCACUGAUAGAAACAAAAAUGAAGGAUUUGACUGAUAGAACAAGUACAAUAAAAAAUAAAAUAGAAAUAAUUACAAAAGAGAAAAAGAAAGUAACUCCAGAAAUAGACAUUAAUCCUAAUAAAACAAAUAAUAUUAAAAAAUUCGAAUCGCCAAAAUUUUUUUCCAAAUAUUAAAAAGCAGAAAUACUCGAGUAAUAUGGAAAUUCCAUUAUUUUCUAAAAUUAUUCAUUCAAAGAUAAUACAUCAAUUUAUUUUUAUCUAUCAUUAAUAUUCCUAGAAUUACUACACAACUCUUUCUUAAAUCAACAAACAAAUUGAUUGCGAAAUUCAUCUCCAAUAAUGAAAUAAAUCAAGAAAAAAUUAAUAAUAAAAAAAAUUCACUUUAUGUUUAUUUCGACUAUAAAAAAGUCACUUUAUAAUAUUAGUAAGAAAAAUUCACAUAUUUUGUGUGAUUUAUCCUACUUGUCACAAGCAUAUGUAUUUUACAAAUUAUCACAAACCCAAGUUAUUAAUUUUUCUAAAUUUAGAUCUGUUCUUCAAUAUAACACAACGUCUUGUUUCCUUAAGACUAAAAUAAAGGACUAUUUUAAAACACUAGGAAUAUUUCAUUCGGAAUUAAAACAUAAGAAACUUCAGAGUUAUAGAAUAAAUCAAUGGAAAAACUGGUUAAGAUGGCAUUAUCAAUACGAUUUAUCUCAGAUUAGAUGGUCUAGAUUAAAGCCAAAAAAAUGGCGAACUAGGGUUAAUCAAAGUUGUAUGGCUCAAAAUAAAAAUAGAAACUUAAACAAAUGGAAUUCAUAUGAAAAAGACCAAUUACUUCAUUACAAAAAAGAAAAUGAUUCGGAACUCUAUUCAUUAUCAAACGAAAAAGAUAAUUUUAAAAAAUGUUAUGGAUAUGGUCUUUUAGCAUAUAAAUCGAUUAAUUAUGAAAAUAAAAGUGACUCAUUUUUUUCUAGAUUACCCUUUGAAGUUCAAGUAAAGAAGAACUUAGAAAUUUCGUAUAAUUCCAACACGUCCAAACACAACUUUGUUGAUAUGCCCGGCAAUCUUCAUAUCAAUAAUUAUCUAAGAAAGGGCAAUAUUCUAGAUAGAGAAAGAAAUCUCGAUAGAAAAUAUUUUGAUUGGAAAAUUAUCCAUUUUUCUCUUAGACAAAAAGGAGAUAUUGAAGCUUGGGUUAAGAUCGAUACCAACAGUAAUCCAAAUACUAAAAUUGGUAUUAAUAAUUAUCAAAUAAUUGAUAAAAUUGAGAAAAAGGGGGUUUUUUAUCUUACAACUCAUCAAAAUCCAGAAAAAACUCAAAAAAAUUCGAAAAAAGUCUUUUUUGAUUGGAUGGGAAUGAAUGAAAAAAUAUUUAAUCGUCCCGUAUUGAAUCUGGAAUUUUUGUUCUUCCCAGAAUUUGUACUACUUUAUAAUGUCUAUAAAAUAAAACCGUGGAUUAUACCAAGCAAAUUCCUUCUUUUUAAUUUGAAUACAAAUAAAAAUGUUAGUCAAAAUAAAAACCAAAACUUUUUUCUACCAUCAAAUAAAAAAAUAAAAAUAAAGAAUCGAAAUCAAGAAGCAAAAGAACCCCCAAGUCAAAGAGAGCGUGGAUCAGAUAUAGAAAACAAAGGAAAUCUAAGCCCUGUUUUUUCAAAACAUCAAACCGAUCUUGAAAAAGAUUACGUGGAAUCAGACACAAAAAAGGGUAAGAUGAUUAUUAAAUCAUUAUUUUUGCAUAAUAAGCAAGUAUAAUUUAUUAAGAGGUUGGAAGGAAUAAAGUUUUAAUGAAAAAUGAAAAUAAUAAAAAUGGAAACAUACCUAUUAGACGAUAAUGUUGAUUAUAAGAUAUUACUACUCUAUAUACUAAAAAAUUUGAAUACUGAUAUAAAAAGAGAAAUUUAUAAUAAAUUAUUAACAUAUGAGAUAAUAGAAAUAACAACCCAAGGUUGGACUGAGUUAACCAUACAAAGUAUACAAGAUGAGCUUUAUUAUGACAUGUAUGAUUUAUAUGAUGAUUUAGAUAUUGGAGAUUAAAUAUGACUGAAUAUUGGCUAAGACGAUAUGGUAGAAAUUACAGGUUAAAAAAGAUUAAAUAUCCAGAUAAAUUAAGUAGACUUUUUAAAAUAUUAUAUAAAAAAUUAUGAUGAAUAAAAAUACUAAAAUAGAAAGAACCAAGAUAGAUAAAAAGGUAAGAAAAAUAUGGAAAAAAUUAAGACCCUUGUAUAUAGAAUAUGAACUAUCGCAACUAGUCAAAACAGAAUAUGGUAAAAAAGAUCAAUUGAUAAAUAUAAUUUCGAAAACAGAAUACAAAUAUGUUCGCUAUUUGAAAAAACAGUAUGAACAAAGAAAUUUAUAAACAACAAUUAAUAGAAAAAAUAAUGGAAAAAAUAACUGAGAAAGAACAAGAUUUACAACAUAGAAAAAAUAGGUUAGAAGAAAAUAUAUUAGCAGGAGUAUAUAAUAAACCAAUACUAGCACAAAGAAAAGAUAUAUUAAUGUUAGAAUUAGAAUUAGAUUGUUUUGAAUAUGAAUUACAACAUAAUAUAAUACAUAGAUCAUAAUGAAUAAAGAAGACUUUGCAGUAGACGAAAAAACAUAUGAAAAUCAAGAUGGAAUGAUAAUAAAAAUAGUAUUUUCAAAUUUAGGAAGAAGAUACAAGAGAAUAGGAAAUAACUUAUACUUAAUGCUAGAAAAAGAAAUAGCAAAAUUAGAAGAUAGUUUAACAGCUAUGGUAAGAAUAACAAAAGAAAAUGAAGAAAUAGAUAAAUCAAGAGAAAUUGAAAAAAUAAAAACACAAGCAAAACAAGAAGUACAAAAUUUAGAAGAAAUAAAAAAUACAAGAAUAAGUGAAUUAGAAAAAGAAUUAGCUAGGUUAAAAUUAUUAUAUGAAAAUAAACAAAAACAAAAAGAUAAAGAGCUAGAAUUAACAAAUGAAAUAAAACAAAUGUAACAGAAACUAAAUGAAGAUCUAAAAGAUCUAAAUGAAGAUAUUGAAGUAAAUGAAAUAGACGGAAAUGAAAAUGACCAACAAUCAGAAAUAAGUGAUAUAAGUGAAACAUAUACAGAAAUUCUAGAACAGAUAAAUAAACCAAAAAAAUUAGAAAUAAACACAGGAGAUAUGAAUAGGCCUAGUACGUCAAGAGUUAAAACCCCAGAUAAUAGUCCCAGAAAUAGUCCUAGAGUUAGUCCUAGGAGAACACCACCAACUUAUUAUACAGAAAGCUAUCAACAAUCAGACAGAAAUAAUGCAAUAUGGAACAGUAGACUAAAUAAAAAUUGGACACCUAAACCAGCAAAUGAACAAUACAGUUUCUUAGAUUUAGAUUGUGUCGCAAAUAUAAAUAAAGCAAUAUUGUUAUGGAUAGGAAAUAUGUCUAAACAGUUAAUAGAUAACAAAAUAGAAACAGCGAAAACACCAAGAUACAUAGAAAGAACAUUCAUAGGAACAACAAAAUUAUGGAUAGAAAAUCUACCCCCAGAAAGUUUAGAAGUACUUAGAAAUGAUAAGAAAAUGGAUGGAUCCCCAUCAGCAACAAAUAUAGAUAUACUAGAUAAAUAUGAAUCAGCUAUUUUGACAUGAUAUUGUUAAUUGUUCAUUUUCUAUAUUGUAUGGUUUGACUUUUUCUAACCAUUUUAUUCCUAAUGUAAUAUUAUGAUUUCCUUGGUAUAUUUUAAAUUGUAUUACUAAGGGUAUUCCUCCUAUAAUUAUUUGUUUUUCUGUUGUUUCUUCAUUCGUGUUCACUAUCUCACUAGGUAGUCCAGGGCAUGUAUGUCCUGUUCUUAUAAUUUCUUCUUCUAAUACUAACUCUCUUGUUAUAUAAUUUUCUUCUUGUCCUGUAUUUAUUAAUAUUUUAUAUAUUCUUUGGUCUAUUAUUCCUGUUAUGAAAUAAUGAUAUGGUGUUAUUUCUUCUUUAUCUAAUAAGCUUUGUGGAAUUUCAUAUUUUCUUUUAGAUGUACUCAUCCUUGAUGAGGUAGCUCUUGUCAAUGUAUUCGGUACGCUCGAAGUGCUUAAUCUUUCUUUUACUAUCUCUAAAUCUUCUUCUAUAUCAAUUUCUUUAUAGCUAUAGUCAUUAUUGUCUAUUACAGUAAUUAUUUUUUCAAAAGGAUUUUCUAUUUUUAUUUUAUUAAUUUUAUUUCUUGCUGUUAUUUUAUGCUUUGUUGUUAAUAUAUAUAAAUUUUUACAUCAUGCUGUAAAUAAUUUGCUCCCUGGUGCUAGUUCUAUUCCAGACAUUUUUCAAUAUAGAACUAAUGAUCUAUCUAUAUUUUUAUCUAUUAAUGAUACUGUACAAUUAGCACUUAUUGUAAACUUAAAUUUUUGAUAUAUUAAUUUUCCUUUUACUGCACUAAUUAUGCUUUUUUCUAUAGGGUGUACAAUUCUAUCAUCUGCUAAAUAUAUUUCUAUAGGUGUAUCUAUUCCUUCUCUAAAGCAGGCUUUUAUUAAUAUUUCUGUUCCUCCUAAAUGUACAUAUUUUAUUGGUGUUUUAGCUUUUAUAUCUUGUAUUUCUUUGUUUAUCAUUCUUUUAUUUAUUAUAGGUAUAUAUGCUUUUCCUCUUGUGUAUUUACAAUCUAUGAUAUGUUCUUUUUGACUAACUACAUAGUAUUCUUCUUUUUGUCUUUUAAACCAAUUUCUUAAAAUAGGUAUUUCUAGUACUUUUUCAACACUUAAAUCUAAUUCUUUUCCUUUUAUUUGUUCAAAUAUCGUAUUAUCAAAUAUAAUUUUCUGUUCUGAUGAUUCUUCAUCUUGAUAUUCUUCCUUAGAUAUUAUUUUUAUUUCAUUUUCAGACAUUAUAUUUCUUCAUCUGUUUCGUUGUUAUCUAUGUUAAUAUUUUCUUCUUCAUUCUCAGUUUCUAUGUCUGAUACUUCAUAUAUACUAUCAUUUUCACUUAAUUCAUAAUCUAUGUACUCUAUUUGCAUAUAUUUUUCAUUGUCUAUAAUUAAUUCUGCUAUUUGUUUUCUUUUUGGAUUUUUGGGUAAUUUACAAUCUUUAGCUAUGUGUCCUAUCUUUCCACAAUUACAACAAGUACAUUGGGAUAUUUUUCUUUUUGGUCUGUAUGGUCUUUUUAUUUUAUGAUUUUUUACAUAAUACCUUCGUCUUGGUUGUUUAUAUUUAUAUAUAGUUUUGUUUUUUCUAUAAUUUUUAUAUCUUUUAGAUUUUUGUUUUUUAGUUGUGCAUCCAAAUUGUGGUGCCAUUUUAUUUUUGCAACAUGAUAAAUUUUUAUUUAAUACUUUUUCCAUUUUUAAUUUUUCCUUUUGGUUUUCACAUAGUUGUAUGAACCAUUGAUUUAAAAAUUUUAUUCUAGAUCCUAAAGUAUCUACCAUCCCUUCAUUAUUCCAAUCCUUUAUCACAUUUGUACUAAAUGGUUCUGGUAAUUUUGUAUAAUAUUGUUUUCUUAUUUCUUUUGCUUCGUCUAAAUUGUAUUUAGCUUUGUAAUAAUAUUCUUUAAAUGCGCAAGUAUAUUCUUCUAAGUAACACAUUUUACAUAUAGCUAAUUUUGUCAUAAGUUGUCUAUUUAUUAUUUUUUCUCUAUUUUGUUCUCUUAUAUCUGUAGUCAUGCCUCCAAAUUCAUUUCUUAUUGCUGAUUCAUAUUUAUCUAGUAUAUGUAUAUUUGUUGCUGAUGGGGAUCCAUCCAUUUUCUUAUCAUUUCUAAGUACUUCUAAACUUUCUGGGGGUAGAUUUUCUAUCCAUAAUUUUGUUGUUCCUAUGAAUGUUCUUUCUAUGUAUCUUGGUGUUUUUGCUGUUUCUAUUUUGUUAUCUAUUAACUGUUUAGACAUAUUUCCUAUCCAUAACAAUAUUGCUUUAUUUAUAUUUGCGACACAAUCUAAAUCUAAGAAAUUGUAUUGUUCAUUUGCUGGUUUAGGUGUCCAAUUUUUAUUUAGUCUACUGUUCCAUAUUGCAUUAUUUCUGUCUGAUUGUUGAUAGCUUUCUGUAUAAUAAGUUGGUGGUGUUUUCCUAGGACUAACUCUAGGACUAUUUCUGGGACUAUUAUCUGGGGUUUUAAGUCUUGAUGUACUAGGCCUAUUCAUAUCUCCUGUGUUUAUUUCUAAUUUUUUUGGUUUAUUUAUCUGUUCUAGAAUUUCUGUAUAUGUUUCACUUAUAUCACUUAUUUCUGAUUGUUGGUCAUUUUCAUUUCCGUCUAUUUCAUUUACUUCAAUAUCUUCAUUUAGAUCUUUUAGAUCUUCAUUUAGUUUCUGUUCCAUUUGUUUUAUUUCAUUUGUUAAUUCUAGCUCUUUAUCUUUUUGUUUUUGUUUAUUUUCAUAUAAUAAUUUUAACCUAGCUAAUUCUUUUUCUAAUUCACUUAUUCUUGUAUUUUUUAUUUCUUCUAAAUUUUGUACUUCUUGUUUUGCUUGUGUUUUUAUUUUUUCAAUUUCUCUUGAUUUAUCUAUUUCUUCAUUUUCUUUUGUUAUUCUUACCAUAGCUGUUAAACUAUCUUCUAAUUUUGCUGUUUCUUUUUCUAGCAUUAAGUAUAAGUUAUUUCCUAUUCUUUUGUAUCUUCUUCCUAAAUUUGAAAAUACUAUUUUUAUUAUCAUUCCAUCUUGGUUUUCAUAUGUUUUUUCGUCUACUGCAAACUCUUCUUUAUUCAUUAUGAUCUAUGUAUUAUAUUAUGUUGUAAUUCAUAUUCAAGACAAUCUAAUUCUAAUUCUAACAUUAAUAUAUCUUUUCUUUGUGCUAGUAUUGAUUUAUUAUAUACUCCUGCUAAUAUAUUUUCUUCUAACCUAUUUUUUCUAUGUUUUAAUUCUUGUUCUUUCUCAGUUAUUUUUUCCAUUAUUUUUUCUAUUAAUUGUUGUUUAUAAAUUUCUUUGUUCAUACUGUUUUUCAAAUAGCAAACAUAUUUGUAUUCUGUUUUCGAAAUUAUAUUUAUCAAUUGAUCUUUUUUACCAUUGUCUGUUUUGACUAGUUGCGAUAGUUCAUAUUCUAUAUACAAGGGUCUUAAUUUUUUCCAUAUUUUUCUUACCUUUUCAUCUAUCUUGGUUCUUUCUAUUUUAGUAUUUUUAUUCAUCAUAAUUUUUUAUAUAAUAUUUUAAAAAUUCUACUUAAUUUAUCUGGAUAUUUAAUCUUUUUUAACCUGUAAUUUCUACCAUAUCGUCUUAGCCAAUAUUCAGUCUUAUUUAAUCUCCAAUAUCUAAAUCAUCAUAUAAAUCAUACAUGUCAUAAUAAAGCUCAUCUUGUAUACUUUGUAUGGUUAACUCAGUCCAACCUUGGGUUGUUAUUUCUAUUAUCUCAUAUGUUAAUAAUUUAUUAUAAAUUUCUCUUUUUAUAUCAGUAUUCAAAUUUUUUAGUAUAUAGAGUAGUAAUAUCUUAUAAUCAACAUUAUCGUCUAAUAGGUAUGUUUCCAUUUUUAUUAUUUUCAUUUUUCACUAAAACUUUAUUCCUUCCAACCUCUUAAUAAAUUAUACUUGCUUAUUAUGCAAAAAUAAUGAUUUAAUAAUCAUCUCGUCUGGUCACUACUACAGCUUUCUUAUUUGAUUAGUUACCCUACAUGCGCCUCAACUUUGUUUACUCCCCUAAACGGCCUUCUCUUCCUACCGGUUUCAACCUUAGGAUGGCAUAGUCUGGGCAUACUUAAUCGAAGAAUAUUUCUGUAGCAAACUUUCUAAAGAUGGUUAUUAUAACAUUAUUCAAACAUGAUAAACAAUUAUAAUUAACAACAGAUUUUCAGGAAUAAAUUUAUUUAGCUACUCAUUAAUAUAAAAUGGUAUACCUGUUUUUGUGGAUCAUUUGUCAUAGUUGAUUUUUUUUCUAUAAUUAUUUAAUUAUACAGCUCUGAUACCAAUGGAGGGGGGUGGAAGCGGAUUUGUGAAUUGAGAGUAGAGAGUAGAGAGAAGAUUGUUUGAUGAAGGAUUGAUGAUUUUAUUUAUGAGGGGAAACCCUCUAUUUAUACACAAAAUUUACAGACUUUUGGCCAAAAAUGGACGACACAUACUUUACACUUGGCCUCUUUAUAUUCGGCCGACACAAGAAAACAAAAUACUUAUUAUUACUACUUUACAUAAUGACCUCUUCUUUAUUUAUGGCCGACAUACACACUAUUUUCUUUAUGACUUUUACAAUUGGCUUUUUACAACCGACACAACACGACAAAAAUAAAAAUUAUUACUUUUUACAUAUGGCUGAUAUUCAGCCGACACAAAAUUUUAACAAAAUACAAAAUACAAAAUACUUUUUUUUAUUCGAUUUGAACGUCUGGUAUGACAUUAUCUUCUCCUUGAUAUUUUGAACAUAUAUGGUCGGGGUAUUUUUGUCCAAUAAUUUUGCAAUAUCUGGUCAAUAAUUCUUCCGAAAUAAACUCUUUCCUUAAUGCUCUUGUUGUUGGUUUUUGCUCUGGCUUGAGUAGACUAAGUAUCCAUUGGCGUAUCUCUUCCAUAUCUUGUUCUCUGAUUUCUUUAGAAUUUGAAUAUAUCAUAACUUGCUCUCGUACAUAAUAGCUCCAUACUGAAUUUCCAUUUAAAUAAUUGUUAGUUAGUUCAUUUAGGAUAGUUGUUAUUCCUAUAACUCUUUUGUUGGCGUAGAAUUCUGGUAUCUCAAUCUUUUGUAAUUCUUGUUGUAUUCCGAUAUCUUCUGGAAUUAUCAUAUCUCUGGUCAAACCAAUUUUUAUAACCUGUAUAAUUGGUUUUAUCUCAUCAAAUAAUAUCUCUGCUGGUGUUGAAUAAAACUUUAUAUAAAACAAUGUUCCUUUAGUAAUUCUUUUAUAGUUCAUAAAGGCUUUGUAUAGCUCUGGUAUGGUAGAUAUGUCAUCUCCUGUUUGGGUAUAAACUGUAUUAAGUAAUCCAUAACUAUAACAUGUUUUUACUAGAUUUGCAUUGGUGCCUGAUUGUGCUAUUAACUUAUUAUAUCCUUGUAGCUUUUGGGUUAUAAAAUCAGUAUUAGGGUCUUUGGUAGUUGGAGAUCUAGGUGUUGAGUUUAAAUAAUUUUGGAUUUUAUAAAGGUUUUCAAUAUAUGAGCGGAUUAUGUGGUUGUAGGCUUUUUUAUCCUGGUUUAAACUUUCUGAGUAAGUAUGUAUUUGUGGUGGUAUAAAUAAUGAGUCUUUUUGGUUCUUUGGAAUAAAUGGUUUAUCGAAGAUUUUGUUCAUAUUUAAAUUUGUAUAUCUUAUUCCACUGGCUCCUUUUGUUGUAGAUGUGCUUGAUGUAGCUGCAUUUAAACAAACAUUGUCAUGGGUUUUAUGGAGUUUCCAAACGUCUCCUUCUAGUUCUAGCUUUUUACCGUCCGCCGAACGACGUAGCUCCGCAUUUUUAGAGUCAUGCUGCUGACUGUUAGCUUUCAGAUUUUGUAACUCUUUUCCCAUACUGUCCACCUUCGUAGAAAGUGUAGUAAUUGCUUUGAGUAUUUCUUCUAUUGUAUCUUGUUCAGUUUGAGUUCCUUUUUCUUGAUAGGUAGUCUGCAACAAGGUUCUUGUCAGUCUUAAUUACAUCAAUUGUAAAUGUAAAAUUUAAUAUAUUCAAUACUAAUCUCCUUAUUUCUUUUGUUGUAACUGAAUCUUCUAAUUUUUUUGUUAUCCACCAUUUUACCUGUGUGUUAUCUGUUCUUACAAUAAAUUUAUUGUAAACAAUAUAUGGUUCAAAUGCUAAUAAACAUUUAUAUAAUGCGAAUAAUUCUUUUCUAUUUAUUUCCCAUUUUAUUUGUGCUUCUAUAUAAGAUCCUGAAUAAUAUCUACAAUGGUGUUCUAUUUUUUCUUUUUCAUAUUUGUAUUUUAAAACUCCUCCGUAACUAUGAUCACUCGAAUCUGUUUCAACAAUGUAAGUAAAUGUUUUAUUUUCAUCAGGAAAAUAUAGUUUUGGUAAUUUUUUACAUAGAUUCUUAAUAAUUUUUAUAUGUUUUUUAUCUUUAUUAUCAAAAUGAUAUUCUACAUCUUUUUUAAGUUUUUUAUGUAAUGGUUUUAAAUGUUCUGCUAAUUUUGGUAUAUAUUCUCUUACCUGGUUUACUAAUCCUAGAAAGGAUUGUAAUUUCUUUUUUGUAUCUAUAUUUUCAUCAAUAGUAAUUUUUUUUUGUACUAUAUGAGUUUGCAUUUUUAUUCCAUUUUUAUCUAUUUGUAUUUCUAGAAAUUCUAUUUGUGAUUUCAUAAUUUCUGCUUUUCUUUUACUCAAACUUAUACCUGUGUUUUUUACUAUAUGUAUAAAUUUUUCCAAUAAUCUUA
rnacentral:lncRNA from 1 species